rnacentral:sRNA from 1 species
UAUCUUUCCUCUUUGAUGUUACACCCAA